GGCCGCGGGAAUUCGAUUCAGGCCUAACACAUGCAAGUCGAACGGGAUCCAUCAAGCUUGCUUGGUGGUGAGAGUGGCGACCGGGUGAGUAAUGCGUGACCGACUUGCCCCAUACAAAAGAAUAGCUCCUGGAAACGGGUGGUAAUGCCGGAUGUUCCAGUUGAUCGCAUGGUCUUCUGGGAAAGCUUUCGCGGUAUGGGAUGGGGUCGCGUCCUAUCAGCUUGACGGCGGGGUAACGGCCCCCCGUGGCUUAGACGGGUAGCCGGCCUGAGAGGGCGACCGGCCACAUUGGGACUGAGAUACGGCCCAGACUCCUACGGGAGGCAGCAGUGGGGAAUAUUGCACAAUGGGAGCAAGCCUGAUGCAGCAACGCCGCGUGAGGGA
rnacentral:rRNA from 1 species